GAUGAACGCUGGCGGCGUGCCUAAAACAUGCAAGUCUAGCGGUAAGGCCUCUUCGGAGGUACACGAGGGGCGGACGGGUGAGUAACACGUGGGAAUCUACCCCAAACUGAGGGAUAAGCUCCGGAAACGGUGUCUAAUACCGCAUAUGGUCUUCGGAUUAAAGCUUCGGCGGUUUCGGAAGAGCCCGCGUAAGAUUAGCUAGUUGGUGAGGUAAAGGCUUACCAAGGCGACGAUCUUUAGCUGGUUUGAGAGGAUGAUCAGCCACACUGGAACUGAGACACGGUCCAGACUCCUACGGGAGGCAGCAGUUAGGAAUUUUCCACAAUGGGCGCAAGCCUGAUGGAGCAACGCCGCGUGCAGGAUGAGGGUUUUCGGAUUGUAAACUGCUUUUAUGUGCGAAGAAUAUGACGGUAACACAUGAAUAAGGAUCGGCUAACUCCGUGCCAGCAGCCGCGGUAA
rnacentral:rRNA from 1 species